rnacentral:rRNA from 1 species
CCUACGGGAGGCAGCAGUGGGGGAUAUUGCACAAUGGGGGAAACCCUGAUGCAGCGACGCCGCGUGUGGGAAGACGGUCCUCUGGAUUGUAAACCACUGUCCCCAGGGACGAAGAUGACGGUACCUGGGGAGGAAGCUCCGGCUAACUACGUGCCAGCAGCCGCGGUAAUACGUAGGGAGCGAGCUUUGUCCGGAAUUACUGGGUGUAAAGGGAGCGUAGGCGGGACUGCAAGUUGGGUGUCAAAUCUACCGGCUCAACCGGUAGCCGCACUCAAAACUGCAGUUCUUGAGUGAAGUAGAGGCAGGCGGAAUGCCUAGUGUAGCGGUGAAAUGCGUAGAUAGUAGGAGGAACACCGGUGGCGAAGGCAGCCUGCUGGGCUUUUACUGACGCUGAGGCUCGAAAGUGUGGGGAGCGAACAGGAUUAGAUACCCCGGUAGUC